AUACGUAGGUGGCAAGGCGUUGUCCGGAAUUAUUGGGCGUAAAGGGCGUGUAGGUGGAUGUUUAAGUCGUGUGUCUAAGUGCGGGGCUCAACCCCGUAUAGGCGCAGGAAACUGGAGAUCUUGAGUGCAGGAGAGGAAAGUGGAAUUCCCAGUGUAGCGGUGAAAUGCGUAGAUAUUGGGAGGAACACCAGUGGCGAAGGCGACUUUCUGGACUGUGUCUGACACUGAGGCGCGAAAGCCAGGGGAGC
rnacentral:rRNA from 1 species